GUCAAAUUCAAAACAGGGUGUGUGAAAUUGUAGUUCAGAGAAAAACCCUACUACCACAAAUGGGUUUCAAGUCCAACCUGGAGGAAAAGAAGCCACAACAGCCAUUUUUAAAAAGACAAAAAGGAGCCAGGGAACUUAUGAGGUUACAGCCAUGAAAUAAUGAAGUGGGAGCACAGAAUUUCUAACUGCUCUUCUCCUUCACUCCUGCAAAUGAUCCACUUCAGAGAAAAUGAAAUGGUACUAAUAUUGAGAAUGGUACUGUUCCGCCUUGGAAACUUUAUUUGGUGAUGUGAAAUUUAUCACCUGACCACAUGGCUUAUGAGAAGACAGUCACCGAAUUACAGGAAUGCCAACAAAUUUGGCCACAGAUGUGAUUAAAUAUCAUUCUGGCUGUAUCAGGAUGAUUAAAGGAAAUACCCUGUGGAAGUUUAAAAAUAUCACUUAAAAGAAAAAAAAUACUAAAAAUAAAAGAUCCAAUGUUUGGGUCUAAUGUUUUUUCU